UGAAAGCCCUUUUAGGCUUAAUGCAGUGGUGACAUGAGUUAAUGGUGCUGUUAUCACCUGAUAGUGCAACCCCAUGUGAGCAUACCAAAGGAAAUGAACAUCUACACGAAGCUGCCCGGAAUACAGCUAUAUCAAUCUGUUUUGUGUGCACAAUAAAAGAUAAGAUCAGAGCUCACCACGUCUUGAAACACCUGCUCAGAUUUGAUCUGAAAACUGAAAAUCCCCCAAAAUGUUAACAUGAGAUCCCUCUUUGUUGUUUCAGUUCAGCUCAGCUGUUCUGCUUGUGUGUGAGUAUAUUUUUGUAUAUAACUCUGGAUUCUGUUGACUUAUUUUGCUCUUUUUGAGUGGGUGCCAUUUCUCUUCCAAUCAUUAAAAGCUAUUGCCU